AUUGAACGCUGGCGGCAGGCCUAACACAUGCAAGUCGAGCGAGCGGCGGACGGGUGAGUAAUGUAUGGGGACUGCCCGAUAGAGGGGGAUAACUACUGUAAACGGUGGCUAAUAACGAAUACUGUCGGAUAACCCAUAUGGGAUUAGCUAGUAGGUAAGGUAAUGGCUUACCUAGGCGACGAUCCCUAGCUGGUCUGAGAGGAUGAUCAGCCACACGUGGACUGAGACACGGCCCAGACUCCUACGGAGGCAGCAGUGGGGAAUAUUGCACAAUGGGCGCAAGCCUGAUACAGCCAUGCCGCGUGUAUGAAGAAGGCCCUAGGGUUGUAAAGUACUUUCAGUCGGGAGGCGUUACCGACAGAAGAAGCACCGGCUAACUACGUGCCAGCCGCCGCGGUAAUAC
rnacentral:rRNA from 1 species